CGAUGCAGGGGACGCGGGUUCGUGCCCUGGUCCAGGAAGAUCUCACAUGCCGCGGAGCAGCUAGGCCCGUGAGCCAUGGCCGCUGAGCCUGUGCGCCACAACAGUGAGAGGCCCACGUACCGCCAAAAAAAAAAAAAAAAAAAAAAAGAA